rnacentral:rRNA from 1 species
UGAUCAANCCNGGGGGUGAAAGGCUGUGGCUUANCCAUGGUAAGCCUUUGGAACUGGUCAGCUUGAGUGCAGGAGAGGAAAGCGGAAUUCCUAGUGUAGCGGUGAAAUGCGUAGAUAUUAGGAGGAACACCCGUGGCGAAGGCGGCUUUCUGGACUGUAACUGACGCUGAGGCACGAAAGCGUGGGGAGCAAACAGGAUUAGAUACCNUGGUAGUCCACGCUGUAAACGAUGAAUACUAGGUGUCGGGGGUCAAAGCCCGGUGCCGCAGCUAACGCAUUAAGUAUUCCGCCUGGGGAGUACGGUCGCAAGACUGAAACUCAAAGGAAUUGACGGGGACCCGCACAAGCAGCGGAGCAUGUGGUUUAAUUCGAAGCAACGCGAAGAACCUUACCAGGUCUUGACAUCCCUCUGAAUGGCGCUUAGCAGCGCAGGUCCUUCGGGACAGAGGAGACAGGUGGUGCAUGGUUGUCGUCAGCUCGUGUCGUGAGAUGUUGGGUUAAGUCCCGCAACGAGCGCAACCCUUGCCUUUAGUUGCCAGCACAUCAUGGUGGGCACUCUAGAGGGACUGCCGGUGACAAACCGGAGGAAGGUGGGGAUGACGUCAAAUCAUCAUGCCCCUUAUGAUCUGGGCUACACACGUGCUACAAUGGCCGGUACAACGAGAAGCGAAACCGCGAGGUGAAGCAAAUCUUAUAAAGCCGGUCCCAGUUCGGAUUGCAGGCUGAAACUCGCCUGCAUGAAGUUGGAGUUGCUAGUAAUCGCGGAUCAGCAUGCCGUGGUGAAUGCGUUCCCGGGUCUUGUACACACCGCCCGUCACACCAUGGAAGUUGGGGGGACCCGAAGCCAGUGAUCCAACCGUAAGGAGGAAGCUGUCGAAGGUAAAACCAAUGACUGGGGUGAAGUCGUAACAAGGUAGCCGUAUCGGAAGGUGCGGCUGGAUCACCUCCUU